rnacentral:rRNA from 1 species
GGCGACCAUAGCGUUUGGACCCACCUGAUCCCAUUCCGAACUCGAAGUGAAAACGAAUAGCGCCGAGGUAUGUGGGGUUUCCCCAUGUGAGAGUAGGACAU